rnacentral:misc_RNA from 1 species
GAUGAAGAACGUAGCGAAAUGCGAUAAGUAAUGCGAAUUGCAGAAUCCGUGAGUCAUCGAAUCUUUGAACGCACAUUGCGCCCUCUGGUAUUCCGGAGGGCAUGCCUGUUCGAGCGUCAUUAUCACCCCUCAAGCCCGGCUUGUUGUUGGAUGCAGCGCUUAUCCCGCUCCUCCCAAAGAUAAUGACGGCGUCUGCGACGACUCCUGUACACUGAGCUUUCGGGCACGUACACGGCUAGAAGUCCAGACCCGGUCGCCGUCCCCCCCGCGGGGACACCCAUUACCACAAGGUUGACCUCGGAUCAGGUAGGGAUACCCGCUGAACUUAAGCAUAUCAAUAAGCGGAGGA